UGUUUCGGCUAGGGGGCCAUCCCGGCUUACCAACCCGAUGCAAACUGCGAAUACCGGAGAAUGUUAUCACGGGAGACACACGGCGGGUGCUAACGUCCGUCGUGAAGAGGGAAACAACCCAGACCGCCAGCUAAGGUCCCAAAGUCAUGGUUAAGUGGGAAACGAUGUGGGAAGGCCCAGACAGCCAGGAUGUUGGCUUAGAAGCAGCCAUCAUUUAAAGAAAGCGUAAUAGCUCACUGGUCGAGUCGGCCUGCGCGGAAGAUGUAACGGGGCUAAACCAUGCACCGAAGCUGCGGCAGCGACGCUGAUGCGUUGUUGGGUAGGGGAGCGUUCUGUAAGCCUGUGAAGGUGGCCUGUGAGGGUUGCUGGAGGUAUCAGAAGUGCGAAUGCUGACAUAAGUAACGAUAAAGCGGGUGAAAAGCCCGCUCGCCGGAAGACCAAGGGUUCCUGUCCAACGUUAAUCGGGGCAGGGUGAGUCGACCCCUAAGGCGAGGCCGAAAGGCGUAGUCGAUGGGAAACGGGUUAAUAUUCCCGUACUUGGUGUUACUGCGAAGGGGGGACGGAGAAGGCUAUGUUGGCCGGGCGACGGUUGUCCCGGUUUAAGCGUGUAGGUGUGUGUUCCAGGUAAAUCCGGUUCACUUUAACACUGAGGCGUGAUGACGAGGCACUACGGUGCUGAAGCAACAAAUGCCCUGCUUCCAGGAAAAGCCUCUAAGCAUCAGGUAACAUCAAAUCGUACCCCAAACCGACACAGGUGGUCAGGUAGAGAAUACCAAGGCGCUUGAGAGAACUCGGGUGAAGGAACUAGGCAAAAUGGUGCCGUAACUUCGGGAGAAGGCACGCUGACACGUAGGUGAAGUGAUUUACUCAUGGAGCUGAAGUCAGUCGAAGAUACCAGCUGGCUGCAACUGUUUAUUAAAAACACAGCACUGUGCAAACACGAAAGUGGACGUAUACGGUGUGACGCCUGCCCGGUGCCGGAAGGUUAAUUGAUGGGGUCAGCGCAAGCGAAGCUCCUGAUCGAAGCCCCGGUAAACGGCGGCCGUAACUAUAACGGUCCUAAGGUAGCGAAAUUCCUUGUCGGGUAAGUUCCGACCUGCACGAAUGGCGUAAUGAUGGCCAGGCUGUCUCCACCCGAGACUCAGUGAAAUUGAACUCGCUGUGAAGAUGCAGUGUACCCGCGGCAAGACGGAAAGACCCCGUGAACCUUUACUAUAGCUUGACACUGAACAUUGAGCCUUGAUGUGUAGGAUAGGUGGGAGGCUUUGAAGUGUGGACGCCAGUCUGCAUGGAGCCGGCCUUGAAAUACCACCCUUUAAUGUUUGAUGUUCUAACGUGGACCCGUGAUCCGGGUUGCGGACAGUGUCUGGUGGGUAGUUUGACUGGGGCGGUCUCCUCCUAAAGAGUAACGGAGGAGCACGAAGGUUGGCUAAUCCUGGUCGGACAUCAGGAGGUUAGUGCAAUGGCAUAAGCCAGCUUGACUGCGAGCGUGACGGCGCGAGCAGGUGCGAAAGCAGGUCAUAGUGAUCCGGUGGUUCUGAAUGGAAGGGCCAUCGCUCAACGGAUAAAAGGUACUCCGGGGAUAACAGGCUGAUACCGCCCAAGAGUUCAUAUCGACGGCGGUGUUUGGCACCUCGAUGUCGGCUCAUCACAUCCUGGGGCUGAAGUAGGUCCCAAGGGUAUGGCUGUUCGCCAUUUAAAGUGGUACGCGAGCUGGGUUUAGAACGUCGUGAGACAGUUCGGUCCCUAUCUGCCGUGGGCGCUGGAGAACUGAGGGGGGCUGCUCCUAGUACGAGAGGACCGGAGUGGACGCAUCACUGGUGUUCGGGUUGUCAUGCCAAUGGCACUGCCCGGUAGCUAAAUGCGGAAGAGAUAAGUGCUGAAAGCAUCUAAGCACGAAACUUGCCCCGA
rnacentral:rRNA from 2 species